GGCACAUGGGUAAAAGCACGAAAAUAUGGUAUAUUGUUUAUGAGUAGGUGUAAGAUACGACUAUCUAUAGGUAGUAAAAUUAACGCUCGUGGUCAUUCCAAUCUUCCGUGAUUCAAGCAGAGAACCAUUACAAGCUAAAGUGGCUCCUUUUUAAUCACGAAAGUGCUUAAGAAUUUGGAGAACUUGCCCAUGUUCUUCGAACUUCCCCACAGGUAUCCAAUCUUCACUAUUGGAACUACCAGAAGCUUCAAACCGAAUCACAAUGGCAUUGACGUUGAGAUGAAAGUGAAUUAUUAUAUAAAAACUUGCACCUUGCCUAUGAGUAACAACAGCAUCUGGACAUAAUAAUAGUAAAUAAAUAAAAACAAAACAAACGAAAUAACAAAUGAUAGCGAAAGAAAAGUGUUCUGCCGUUUCCCUUUGAAAUUGCCUCUUCACUGAAAUCACCAGAUUGUUGUGAGAUCCUUCUGCCAGCCAAACCAAUGAUACAUGCGAAAUUUUGAGGGGAACCAGACGUAUGGAAGGCGUCCCCAGUUCUGGCGCCUGGAACGCUGAAGAAGAAUAUUGCGGCAUGGCGUGUGAACUUUGUGUCGCUCAAACCCCGCCCGCGCCAGACAAAGAUGCGGAUUUCCGUCUCUGCCAUUGUUGACAAAUUGGAUAAUAGCGAG
rnacentral:sRNA from 2 species